rnacentral:rRNA from 1 species
CCUACGGGAGGCAGCAGUGGGGGAUAUUGGACAAUGGGGGGAACCCUGAUCCAGCGACGCCGCGUGAGUGAAGAAGUAUUUCGGUAUGUAAAGCUCUGUCAGCAGGGAAGAAAGAAAUGACGGUACCUGACCAAGAAGCCACGGCUAACUACGUGCCAGCAGCCGCGGUAAUACGUAGGGUGCAAGCGUUAUCCGGAAUUACUGGGUGUAAAGGGAGCGUAGACGGUUAAGUAAGUCUGGAGUGAAAGGCCGGGGCCCAACCCCGGGACUGCUCUGGAAACUAUUGAACUUGAGUGCAGGAGAGGUAAGCGGAAUUCCUGGUGUAGCGGUGAAAUGCGUAGAGAUUAGGAGGAACACCAGUGGCGAAGGCGGCUUACUGGACUGUAACUGACGUUGAGGCUCGAAAGCGUGGGGAGCAAACAGGAUUAGAUACCCGGGUAGUC